UGUCGAAUUGCCUGAUGCCGACACUGGUCCUCGUGGCGAACUAAAUAGUACGCUAACGUACACGGACACGUCUAAAAGAUUCCGUCUCUGCCUUCGUUUCACUAGUUUUGUCUGUGUUUUCUUUGAGGAGUCAUUUGAAACGCGGUUCGUUGAGUGCGAGAAACGAACACUUUCUUUCCCCCUUUUGCGAGUAAGACCUGCAGGAUUCGAUUGCCCUGACUACGAGAAAUGGUACAGACGACCAAACACAAACGGAGGACUUUAUGAUUCAGCUGAGGCUUCUGAGGAUGGAGUUCGUUAUCGCCAGCGACUGGAGUUGAAGGAUAUGAAUGAGGACCACAUCAUUUAAUUUACAGGUAACCACGCUUGUCGUGCUGGCAUUAAUACCAUGGCCUGGCCCUACUGUGUUUAAGAUAUCAUGUCCACGUGAUCACGCAUCUGUUGUGCGGAAGGUUGUUCAAAAGAAAUGGAUACCAGUGCUGGAGAAGUAUCAAGUCUCAAUUCCUCUCGAGUGUCCCUUUCAUCCUGUGAGAGACAUAUAUUGGCCUCAACAGUCUGCCAAACAGCAACAUCGGUCUUCUCAGUGGACAUGUGGAAUAUGUGGGAAAUCAUUUUAUGAAGAACGUUUUCUAGACAAGCAUUUUGACAAUAGGCACAAAAACCAAAUUAAUAUGGCUGAAGAUGCAGUAUGCCUAGCUGAUUAUUGUGACAUCAUGCGAUGUGAGGUACUAAUGACACAAGAAGUUGGAAGUGGUGAAUCAGGAGAAUCCAGUCAGGGAAACACUGACAUUGAAGUGUGGAGUGAGUCAACAGCUUAUCGCACUGCACUGUCACCUUCCGGACCUCGAGACCUUGCUCGUGUGCUGUUUAGGAGAGGACCAUAUACUGAACAUGACAGACAGCCACAGGAAGCACAAGGGUCCACACCAAGUACACAACCCAGUGAGAAUCACUGCCCUCGCACUUCGCAACCACCAACUUCAGAACAGCAUCAGCAGCCUCAAGCGACUUCUGACACUGACACAAAUACUUCUGCACCGGAUACCUGUGACAGCGGAAACCUUGUUGACUCAUCAGUGCCUCCAGGAGAUCGUAAGCAACAAAGACUGAGUGAGCUGCAGAGACUCAAAGCCAACUGCAAACCAGAAGAACUUCAAGGCCUUAAACUUCGGUGUGAGAUUCUUGUGAGAGAUUGCAUAGCAGGUUUAUUAGUAAACUUGUCCAUCCAAAAUUUUAAGGAAGUUGAAGAGGAGUUGAAUCGUGCUGUGUGUUGGUACCUCACUUGUGACCGCUACUGGGAAGAUUCUCCCAAUGAUUCUAGACAUUUUCCUUGGGGCCUUGUCUUUGUGUUGGUUAUGGUGCUUUCUCUUGGUAUCUGCCUCUGCUACUACAUAAUAUGGGUUCUGUUUGAUUCUGAUGACCAAAGUGUUGCCAGCACAAGUGCCACUGCAACGGCUACUUCGUCUCCAGUGCAUCAUGCAAAUUCAACUAAUAGGCCUUUAUACUCAGAGGAAUAUUACACAGUUCCAGAAAUAAAUGAUAUGGGACAAAAUGAACAUUAUAUUUAUGUAACAUAUCCACCAGAACUAAAAAGGAGAUUGUUAGAAAGGUGUUGAUUGUGGAAGAACCUUGACCAAGCACUUAACCCACCGUCUUUAUCAUUUGAUGGCUGUGUGGAGUUAAUAAGCUACUCUUCUCUAUGAAGUUCCUGUGGCAGCUGCUACAAUAGAACCACAAGACUGUGAGUGGCAAGUGGUCAAGAGUGGAUUCGAGUAAGUGGACUAGUUUGUUGGUCCUACUUUGAAUACAAAAUAAUAAUGGUUAUGGUUUCAGUUUAGUAUACAUUCUCAAAGAGAGAACAAACAUUUUUUAAAUUUUUCUGUAGAGUCUUUUAUUGGUAAUUUAUUCUUCAUUUGACUUGUGCCACAUAUGUUACAGAUUGUUUUAGCACUAAAUGAAGAGGGGCAUCCAUAAAUGUAUUACAGAUUAUUGUACUAUCACACUGCAGCUCAAUAAAUGAACAAAGAAGUUCAACAUGCUAAGUGUAAAAUUCAAUAAUUAAUGCUGCAUAGCUUUAGAGUGAAAAUUAAUCUGGAAUAUUGAGAGUUAUAAAACUGUUCACCUGUUCACAUUUCCAUAGUCCUUUGCUAGAAAGGAGUAUGGCUCUAUCUGAGAAAGUAAAAUCAUUAUAAAAGCAGUCAUUCACAACAUAAUAUACCAGUUUUCUCUAAGUAUACAUGAUUUAAAGUAUGAACAUCAUUGUGUGGACACAAAUAAAGGACUGUGUUGUAUUUAUGCACAUAGGAUUUUUUUCUGAGAUGUGUCUCUGCUAUUUAAGCCUUGUGGGGACCAGUACCAUUGAUUUAAUGGGCAUGCUGUUUGCAGCGUGAUGCCAUAACUACAAAUCAGGAUUUUGUGGUAUCACAAUAAUGUUUAUUUUUACAUUUAUAGUUUAGUCUAAAGCACUUGCUCCUUAUAUAGUAACAGUCCCACAUGACUACUCAAAAUUCAGGAUGAAUUUGUAGGAGCAAUGUCAAAGAUCUCUUAACAGAUACUUCCUGUUAAAGAAAAGAAUUUGUGGAGAAAUUCUCUUCUAAAUUAAAAUGACAAAUAUUUGAUUUCUCUCAAAUUAAAAAAUGGAUGUUAUAAAUAACAUACUAUAAGAAGGCAACACAUUACAAGAAUAAAGGUGGAGAAAGGAACAUCGACCAUCUAAAACAUGGACUUCGUCACUACUACAUUUCUACGUGCAAAGUCAUGAUAGAUACUGGCAAUCCAUUAAACAAUCAUAUAGCGCAGAAUGUCACAAUCAUAGUUUCAAUUUAUCAGUUCUAUGUAGUAGCUCUGUGCUACGAACACAUACAUAGGAAUGUAAUUUUGAACUUGUGUACAUGAAUAAUAUUAUGUGAGAAAUAGCCAUACUUACUCUCAGUGAUAAAUUAUAAAGAGAAAACAGAAGUACAAGAAAUUGUACAACAUUAUACUCUAGAAUCUAUGAGCAUUUUUUCUGGACUGAUGAAAAAAUAAUAACUUUCAUGUUUCAGAUUGCCAUAAAGUUCUAAUCCAUUGACCACUCAUGAAUCAAAACUACCCUGUUCAUUAGCUUUCCCUGGCUCUAUAUUAACUGGCAAAACAUAAAAUACUAAGAUUUCAACCAACAAUCAAAGCAAAUGUUUAAUUUACAUGUUUAAGUGAAAUCUCUAUCUGAAAAUCCUGCAUUGUAAUCAUUUUGUAACAGGGGAGAUUCACAGAAAAUGCAUAUAAUCAACAAGAGAUCCAAACAGUGAAAGGCUAUUAAAAUAAUAAUUUGAUGUGAUCUUGUGUAAGAGGCCUGGUCAAUACCCUAUUUUGCUAUGCAAAAAAAAAAAAAAAAAAAAAAAAAAAAAAACUACAAGCUGAUGUAAUCUCAGGCAAAAAGCCUAUAUCGGUAGCAUAAAUGUAAUUCAGCUGUAAAGACAUUAUUGGAAGUAAGUACUGUCUCUUUAGAAAAAUCUCUCAGACAAUCAUUUUGCAACCUUCCCUUCUAGAGCAAAUGUUUUGGGCUUAGCGGACAAUGAUUGUUUCUUAAUAUCUCUCCCUCUCCACAUAUUAUUUGCCUCAUUUUACAGCUUACAUUUCAUAAACAGGGUGUUAUUUGUUGCAUGUACAUCCCUAAUAUUUAGAAAAGAGUUCAACAAGGAAUUUCACAAAUGAUAACAUAUAUAGUAGAAAAUAUUCUGACU